rnacentral:rRNA from 1 species
UAACAAGGAUUCCCCUAGUAACUGCGAGUGAAGCGGGAAAAGCUCAAAUUUAAAAUCUGGCGUCCUUUGGGCGUCCGAGUUGUAGUCUGGAGAAGCGUUUUCCGCGUUGGACCGUGUACAAGUCUCCUGGAACGGAGCGUCAUAGAGGGUGAGAAUCCCGUCCAUGACACGGACUACCAAUGCUUUGUGAUACGCUCUCGAAGAGUCGAGUUGUUUGGGAAUGCAGCUCAAAAUGGGUGGUAAAUUCCAUCUAAAGCUAAAUAUUGGCGAGAGACCGAUAGCGAACAAGUACCGUGAGGGAAAGAUGAAAAGCACUUUGGAAAGAGAGUUAAACAGUACGUGAAAUUGUUGAAAGGGAAACGCUUGAAGUCAGUCGCGUCUUGCGGAACUCAGCCUUACUUCGGUCUGGUGUACUUUCCGUUUGACGGGUCAACAUCAAUUUUGAUCGGUAGAAAAAGCUUGAGGAAAGGUAGCGUUGUUUCGGCGACGUGUUAUAGUCUUCUUGCGUAUAUAUCGGUUGGGAUUGAGGAUCGCAGCACGCCUUUAAUGGCCGGGGGCUCGCCCUACGUAUCGUGCUUAGGAUGUUGGCAUAAUGGCUUUAAGCGAC